rnacentral:rRNA from 1 species
UACGUAGGCAGCGAGCGUUGUUCGGAAUUACUGGGCGUAAAGGGCUCGUAGGCGGCCAACUAAGUCGGAUGUGAAAUCCCCAGGCUUAACCUGGGAACUGCAUCCGAUACUGGAUGGCUUGAAUCCGGGAGAGGGAUGCAGAAUUCCAGGUGUAGCGGUGAAAUGCGUAGAUAUCUGGAGGAAUACCGGUGGCGAAGGCGGCAUCCUGGACCGGCAUUGACGCUGAGUGAGCGAAAGCCAGGGGAGCAAACGGG